rnacentral:tRNA from 3 species
GGAGGGGUACUCAAGCGGUCAACGAGGGCAGACUGUAAAUCUGCUGGCUUAUGCCUACGUAGGUUCGAAUCCUACCCCCUCCACCA